GUGGUACUCAGUGGUCCCCAGAGCCAGGCAAGCAAUCCGCACCCACUGCCCCGACUUGUACUCAAAGCCCUGGGGCCGCUGGAACCGCAAGCUCACCAGCUUGUCACCCCCAUAGAUGAUUGCUGGGACCAGGAAGAAGAUAUGGAAACGGGGCAGCUGGAUCAGAGCAAAGCUACCGUGGAUGAUGAGCUGGAUGGGGGAAAGAGCUCUACUCAGACCUAGCGACACCCGCAGCAGAGUGUGGGGCCAGCUCAGGCCUUAGACCCUGCAUCCUUCCCUGCUGGUAUAUCCAACCCCCACCUUACCACAUACCAUGCUCCUUUCAGGACGCAAAACCUCACCACUCCCAACUCCAUCCUCCAUAGCAUUCCAUGAGGAAUGAGAGUAUUUUCCAGAUCUCUGACACCACUCUAGACCAAGCGAUGUCGCCUGUCACCUGGACUCAUGCAGCAGCCUUCCAGUGGAAGUAGGGCUUUCACUUGUCUUGCCUCACUAUAAUCCUGUCUCUUCAAGGCAGCCAGUGUGACUUUCUAAAGUUCAUCGUAUCAUGUUCAUCCCCAGCUUUAAAAGCUUUGGUGGCCUUCCCAUUGCACUACAAGGCCUCGCAAGUACUCUGACCUCUAGCUGCUAGCCAUUCUCCCCUCCCUGUUCCUCAUACAUGGCAAGUCCUUUCUGCUUUAGGACCUUUGCAUCUCCUGCCUGGAAUGUCCUUCUCCUGGUUCUUCCCAUGGCUAGCUCAAUCUCAUUUUUCAGGUCUCAGUAGAAACACCACCUCCUCAGGCCUCCGUUCAGUCCUAUCUACCACAUCUGCCGGUUGACUCUCUUAGAGUAUGCAUUGUCAUGCUUAUACCCAUUACUGGAGAUAGUAAAAAAAAGAAAAAACAAACAAACAAAAAACAGAGUAUGCAUUGUCA